UACGGAGGGUGCAAGCGUUAUCCGGAUUCACUGGGUUUAAAGGGUGCGUAGGCGGGUUGGUAAGUCCGUGGUGAAAUCUCCAAGCUUAACUUGGAAACUGCCAUUGAUACUAUCAAUCUUGAAUACCUGGAGGUCAGCGGAAUAUGUCAUGUAGCGGUGAAAUGCUUAGAUAUGACAUAGAACACCAAUUGCGAAGGCAGCUGGCUACACGA
rnacentral:rRNA from 1 species